rnacentral:rRNA from 1 species
GACGAACGCUGGCGGCGUGCCUAAUACAUGCAAGUCGAACGCAGUGGGGACGGGUGAGUAACACGUGGGUAACCUCCCAUCAGAGGGGAUAACACUUGGAAACAGGUGCUAAACCGAUACUGAUGGAUGGACCCGCGGUGCAUUAGCUAGAUGGUGAGGUAACGGCUCACAAAGGCAACGAUGCAUAGCAGAGCGGAGCGGGUGGUAAGCCACACCGGAAUGGAGACACGGCCCAGACUCCACCGGGAGGCAGCAGUAGGGAAUCUUCGGCAAUGGACGAAAGUCUGACCGGACAACGCCGCGUGAGUGAAGAAGGGUUUCGGAUCGGAGAACUCUGUUGUUAGAGAAGCGGUAUCUAACCAGAAAGCCACGGCUAACUCCGUGCCAGCAGCCGCGGUAAUAC